rnacentral:tRNA from 2 species
GGGGCGGUAGCUCAGCUGGUUAGAGCAGAGGACUCAUAAUCCUUGGGUCGCGGGUUCGAGUCCCGCCCGCCCCACCA